CUUAACACAAAUUCAAAUCUAAAUUUAUUGAGAUUUUCAAGAUGCCAACAGCAGUGCAUUAGGCCAAACACUGAACCUUUCUGCAUAUGAAUCCCUGUGUGAUUACACCUGUUGUGAGACAUUUGUACACUGUGUGAACAUGUGUUGCUGUGAUUGGUGUAAUAAAAAGCUGAACAGCCAAUAGCUAGGGAGGAGGCAUGGGCGGGACUUCUGAGCAGAGAGAGAACUCUGGGAAGAAGAAAGGCGGAGUCACUAGCCAGAAGCAACAGUACGGAGGAGAUAAGGUGACAAACCAUGUGACAAACCAGAGAUUUUAAAUAUGGGUUAAUUUAAGUUAAAAGAUCUAGUUAGGAACAUGCCUAAGCUAAGGGCAAACAUUCAUAAUUAAUAAUAAGUCUCCGUGUCAUUAUUUGUGAGCUGGUGAUCCAGACUAAAAUGUACUGCUGCAUACACUGGCUAAAAAAUAAACAAAUAAAAAUUAAAACCCGUGGCAGGGGUAAGCAAGUGCUUCCUCACUGGAUCCAAGUCUCACUCCAAGGGAGAGAAUGAAUGCCUGGUACUGUAUACCUGUGAUUAGGGAUGUCAAACCCUGUGGGGGAAUCUACUACUGAUGUUUUGCUAAGUGAGCAUGCAGUUAAACCUUCUGCAGAUAACGUGUUUGUACUCAGACUGGUAUAGUUCUAGCCUUAGAGGAGCCUCUCUGGGGUGUGGGCAGCCAUCAAAGUAGAGAUGUAACUGCUCAAAGUGCUGAGAAUCAGGGGCUGCUGAGUGCUCAGCCCUACGUGAACCUUCCUCAUCCUCCACUCGUGGCCCAGGGAACACUGCGACAGGGGGAUGGGAAGAGCGUUAACAUGUGGGGAAGAAUGCUAUGAAAUGCUAUGAUCUGGAUAUGUCAUGAACAUUGCAAGAAUGAGCACCUAAUCAACAGAAAAGAAAGUUAAUUUUUUAUUUUAUACGCGUGGGAUUUGCCUGCAUGUAUGUCCGUGUACCGCUUAUGUUCCUGAUGUUUACAGAGUCCAGAAGAGGGCACUAAAUACCCUGGACUUAGGGUUACAGACAGUUGUGUACUAUCACGUGGGCACAGAUCCUCUGAGGCCUCUCUUCAGCUCCUAUUUUAUUUUAUUUUUAAUUAAGAUAUCAUUUCCCUAUUUCCUCUCCUCUCUCCAACUCAUCCUAUACCCCUUGCUCAUAAAUUCAUGGGUUUUUCUCUUUCAUUAUUAUUGUUACACAUUUACAAAUAUAUUUGUAAUAAUAUAUAUGAAUAAAUACAUGAAUAUAAAAAAGUAAGAUGGGGUUAGGAGACUAGUUGAAAAGACAAGGGUAUCAGCAUUGGAAAAAGACAAUGAGGGAGUGAAUCUGAUACAUUGCAAAGAAGCACAAAAUGAUUAAAACUUGAAAGACAAAACAAGAAUCCUAUAUGGCCAGCACCAGGCAAUAGAACCCUAGACUUCCAAUACACUGGAUAUUUCCCAAAGUUGAAAAAAAAAUUUCAGGUUUAAGCUGUUUAAUUUGACAGGUCCCUGUGUUAUACUUUAUUUCCUGACAAAUGAAAACACUUUCUGCUCUUAAAACACAUUGUUAGGUUACACAUACAAGAGAGACAUCUCUAUAUUCUGUUUACACUCCUGUCGGCUAUAUUAACUCUGGGUACUCUCUCAAUUUUGAUAGUCCCCCGGGACCUCUAACUUAAAAAUGCCCCAAACUGACAUCAUAUCCCCUGCUAUAUCAGAUAUAGACACAAAGCAACUAACAUGAAUUUAUCUUUAAACAUAUGCCAGAUAUUUUAUAUAACUGCUUAUUCAUCGUCACCGUUUCCCAGAAGGAACGAAAGUAUCAAGGUGUUAUCUCAUUUGCUCAAGGUCACUCUGAGAUGACUGUUUUCUGAGAUGGGAUCUUAUUACACAGUCCAAACUAGUCUCAAACUUGCCAUGCUCCUGUCUCAAGACUCCUGAUGGCCUGGAUUCCAGGCAUACACUAUCACGACCCACUCUGACCUCAAUAUUAAUGAAGCUAAAGCCUUCACACUUAAUCAUUCAACUUUUCAAUGAUUUCAAGAGGCUCUGUGUGACAGCAGGUGCUGUGUGAGUGGACAAUGUCUUCCUCAUUAUCCGACAUCAAAUCUAGUUAUCAUUAGGUGUCUGCCUAAGAAAAUCAGCUUCAAGUAGAAGGAAAUAAUUUUGGCUCGUGGAUUCAUGAAUAGCUGGUUCCACGGAUUUGGGCCAGAGAUGAGUAAGACCUUGGAGUCUUCUAAAGCACUGUGGCCACUCAUGUCACAGGAGCAUGAGUAAAUGACAGAGAGUAGAUGCUAGGGUCAAGAUGUGCACCGCUUCAGAGAAUGUGAGGACCUAGUCCUUCCCCUGCGGCACCCAGUUCCAGCUCCUCCCGGCAAAGCCACGAACACAUCAGGGCAUGGUUAGAUCAUCCAGCGUCUUCCCCAAAGCCCUCAGCUUGCAGCCAACCCUUCAAGCUAUGAGCCUGGAGGGGUCAGGUAGGAAAACUAAAUGACCAAACAAUAAUUCUAGAUGUAGGUAAACAGAAGUUCGCCAACACGUCCACCAUGAUGCCUGUCUUUGAGGAGUGGUGUUGGAGAUUUAAAAAACUUUUCUUGACAGAUUUCUAUAUUGCAGCUGUUCUCACGGGGGCGGGGCGAAUUUAAAAUCUGCUAAUCUGAAGCACCGAAGUGGGAGAAAGUAAGAACCCAUACUUUUCUUGCAGAGGACCCAAGUUCAGUUCCCACUACCCAUAAAUCUACCUCUGAACAGGCACCUUACACACACACACACACACACACACACACACACACACACACGCACGCACGCACGCACGCACGCACGCACGCACACACUUUAAACCAUUAAUUAGGGCUGCUCUGGGUGAGGCUCAGAUACUAAAACUUUUUUUUUAAAUCCCCCAGAUGUUUCUAAUGUGCCGUCAAAUUCGAGAACCAGUGUGGCUUUGCUUGGUUUUACGUGCACUGGUCAUUUUUAUAAGGCAGGCAGGAAGAGACAGGGGAAACGGUUCUCCUUUUGUUAAUCCAUGUACGGUGCGCACCGUGAGUCUGCAUAGGUUGCUUCAAACAAACUGAAGCUGGGGCUCAGCGCACACCCAAAUGGAAAGACUGGGGUGGCCUGAGUGACCGCGGACGUCCAUGCCAGGGAAACCUGGCUUUGUUCAUGGUCUCCAGCCAUGUGCCUUUGAGCAACUAGCUAAACUCACCUCACCAGUUCCUCCUCCAGGAAAUGCGGGCACCACGGACAUCUGCCUGCAAAGAGUUGUGAAUGCAUUAAGAUGUUUUAAGUCCUUGGUCGUAAUAUAAAUGGAGGGGAGACCAGGAGAAGAAACAAGAGCAUUGAAAGAUCAAACAAGGCCCUUCGAGUAACGGAUGCCAUCGUAGUGGAUGGAGGACACCUACAGACGGUCUUGUUGACCUCAGGGAGCUCACACGUGCGAUGGAGUGAUGAGUUGAAAUACCUGGCAUGCUGUGCAAUGCUGAGGAUCUAAAGGCUCCUGCAAGGACACCACUCACUCAAGAACAGCUGUCAACGAGAGCCAGGAACAUGUGGUGAUGAUGUUUGCAUGCUGUUGUAUAGAAAUUUGCUUGGAAUUGAAACAUUCCACACAGGAGGGGAAGACUCUUGAGAAACGGAGCUUUUCUGUUUCGUGAAGUCCCAUUUAUUAGUUGAUGAUCUCAGUGCCUUCGCUAUUGGUGAAGUUGUUCAGGAAGUUGUCUACAAUUGCUCAUGCCUGCAAGAUGUGCUGAGGUAACAGAGGGGCAGAAAUCGGGGUGCAAGCAGCCAGCCAGUGACUAGUCCAGUUUGAGACCCAUGCUGCAAGAGGAAGCCAGUCCCUGACCCUGCCUGGAGGGCCAGGACCCAGAAACUGGAUAACCCAGAGACCUAGGAUAGAACCCAACACGACCAGAAAACAAAAAGUUAAUGAAAUGAUUUCUAAUGAUACUCUACUAUACUUGUAGACCAGAGCCUAGCAUAAUUGUCAUCGGAGAGGGUCCAUCCAGCAACUGAUGGGGACAGAUGCAGAGACCCACAGCCAAAUAUCAGAAUGAGCUCGGAGAAUCCUGCAGAAGAGGGGAGCAAAGACUGUAGGAGCCAGAGGGGUCAAGGACACCACACGGAAAUCCACAGAAUCAGACAAUCAGGACUUAUGGGGCGAAUGGAGACUGAACCAAUAUUCAGGGAGCCUGGAGUCUGACCCAGGUCCUCUGCAUAAUUUAUGGUUGUGUAGCUCAGUGCUCUUGUAGGACCCUCGAUGGUGUGAAUGAGGUGCCUCUGACUCUUUUGUCUGCUUUUAGGACCCUUAUCUUCCUACUGGGUUGCCUCUUCCAGUCUUAAUAUGAGGGGAAAAUUCCUAGUCUUAUUGAAAUUUGGUAUGCUAUGCUUGGUGGCUAUCCCUGUGAGGCCUGCCCUUUUCUGAAGGGAGACAGGAGAGGAGUGGAUCUAGGGAGAGGGGAGAUGGCAUGGGGGACU